rnacentral:rRNA from 1 species
CCCGUAGGCGGUGCGGCAAGUCGGAAGUGAAAUCUCUGGGCUUAACUCAGAGGCUGCUUCCGAAACUGCCGUGCUCGAGUGCGAGAGAGGCAAGUGGAAUUGCGGGUGUAGCGGUGAAAUGCGUAGAUAUCCGCAGGAACAUCCGGGGCGAAAGCGGCUUGCUGGAUCGCAACUGACGCUGAGGGACGAAAGCUAGGGGAGCAAACAGGAUUAGAUACCCUGGUAGUCCUAGCCCUAAACCAUCAGGACUUGGGGUUUGCCCUGUACGGGGCAAGUCCCGGAGCUAACGCGUUAAGUCCUGCGCCUGGGGAGUACGGUCGCAAGGCUGAA